rnacentral:rRNA from 1 species
UACGUAGGGUGCGAGCGUUGUCCGGAUUUAUUGGGCGUAAAGAGCUCGUAGGCGGUUUGUCGCGUCGGCCGUGAAAUCUCCACGCUUAACGUGGAGCGUGCGGUCGAUACGGGCAGACUUGAGUUCGGUAGGGGAGACUGAAAUUCCUGGUGUAGCGGUGAAAUGCGCAGAUAUCAGGAGGAACACCGGUGGCGAAGGCGGUUCUCUGGGCCGAUACUGACGCUGAGGAGCGAAAGCGUGGGGAGCGAACAGG